rnacentral:snRNA from 1 species
AUAUAUUUCUCGGUCUUUUGACUAAAAUAAAUUGUAAUAUUUAUUCUUAUCAGUCUAAUGUCUGGUAUAUAGACAAUAUAUUCACUUUGAAAUUAAAAUCUCUACUACUCCUUAUGUGUGUAUCGUAGGCGUCCACAUCCCGGUUCUGCCUUCGCCAGCGCGCCCCCUC